rnacentral:lncRNA from 1 species
CACAAGUCCGCAAUUCCAUCCAGAGCUGACAAACCUAAACCCCUAAGAAAAGAGCUGAAAAUACAGAAAAAUACAAAAAAAGAGAUAGACCUAAGACUAAGGAGAAGACCAGCCGUUUUCUGAAUGGGGAAUACACAGUAGACCAUUAGAUCAUCUUCUCCAUUAGAUCUAACACCUAAACAGACAUAUACGCACAAAGCUAAGAUCCACCAUUUUUUCCAAAAUCUUCCCAUCGUCCUGCUUCUUCUUCAGAGAAUCAAAUACACGACCUCCCCCAUCGUUCUUCACCAUCUUAAGCAUCUUCAAACCUUGAAAACCCAAAAUAAAACACACCCAUAUAAACGUACACAUACACAAAAUACGCCAGAAAUCAGCAACACACCAGACUUUCAAGCUUCUUAGCUGUCAUUGCUGGAAACCGCCCAGCUCUCACCCUUUCCAUGGAUGUCGCUUCCGGAGGUGAUGACCGGAGGACGGCCAUGACUAUCACUCCUGUUCUUAACCAUUGUUCAUGUCAUUUCUUUCCCCUCUACUGUCAUUAUUUCGCCGGAUUCACACCAUUGACGGCGAAUGAACAGAAAACCGGCGAUAAUCAUCAAAACUGUCGAAUCUAUUUUUGCCAAGUUGUAUAAAAAAUAACAUGUUGAUGUUGUCUGAGGUAGUGGUUUGAGGGUGAAGUUCCGAGGUUUCCGUCGUUGUUCUUGAUCCGGUCAGUUGGUUCAAGCUUCCUUUUUUCUAUUUGAUCAUGCAAUUUUGUUUUAUUAAAUUUUACGGGAUUUUGUUUGAUCAUGCGGCAGUUAGUUGGUUCAAGUUAUGAAUGAUGUUGAUUAUUUUUGUUUGCAUCAUUGUUGGUCUAAAUUUAUUUUAAGUAAUUUAUUAGUUUGUGUUUUCUAGCUCAAAAUUAUUGUUUAAUACCAAGCAAGUUAGUAAAUUGUUUAGGCUAAGUUUGUCAUGAAUUGCUUGAAUGGCCUUAGGGAUUGGAUAUAAUAUGUAAAAAAAAAUUAGACUCUUAAUAUUUUUAUCACUUAUAUUUCGUCAUAUUCGUAGAAGAUGUUUUAGGCGCGUUUUAAAAUUGUUAUCGUGAUUAUGUACACGUUCGCAGGACAUAAUUAUGAUUUUUCUACAAAUAAAUCGAGGUGUGCCAUCCAAUCACAUAGUCUAUGGCCCUCUCAUAAAUAAAAAAUUAGUAUAGAAAAUGCCUUGAACUUUCGUAGUUUACUUUAGGCGCGUUAAUUGAAUAAUUGUCAUGGCUACGGGUACGGUUCCCGUGACGUAGUUGUGAUGCUUAAUUUCUAAAAAUUUGUGGGUACAUUUCAUGCGGCCCGGUUCUAAUUUCCAUCAAGAUUAAAUAGAACGCGUCGUGAAUCACGGGUGCAUUUCAUGUAGCGUGGCUUGCGAUAUAUUUUAAAUAACCUUGAAUUAAUUCUUUAAAUAAGAAAAAACGGUUUUCAAAAGUUAAAAGGCACAUAGAUUUAAAAGUGUUUAAAAUCAGAUAAUUAGACCAAGAAUAAUAGUUGAGCGACCGUGCUAGAACCAAGGAACCUGGAAUUGCCUAACACCUUCUUCUGGGUUAACAGAAUUCCUUACCCGGAUUUAUGUGUUCGCGGACUAUAAAACAGAGUCAAUCUUUCCUCGAUUCGGGAUUUGAACCGGUGACUUGGGAUACCUUAAAUUAUCCCAAGUGGCGACUCUGAUUUUAAUUUAAAUAAUCUUCUUUUGAUUGUCACUUAAAUUGGAAAAACUCCUUUAUACCCUUUUGGAGGUAGAAAAAGGAGGUGUGACAACUCUGGCGAUUCUUCUGGGGAAAAGAACCCAGAACUUCUGGUUCAGGGUUCAGAAUUCGAGCUUAGAAUAUCUGUUAUAAUUGGCUUUAUUUAUUAUCUGAUUUUUUUCAUGUUUGAACAUAAUGUGUUAAAUGUUGCUUUUUACCGCUUUGAUAUUAUUCGGACUAUAUAUAAAUUGUUACGAAACUCUCAUCUCUCUGAGUCUUCUAAAUCUUCUGGGAAGUGUGCACUUCGUGUGACUUCUGUUAGAGUCAUAUUCCAAUUUUAGAAUGAGGUUCGGAUAAGUUGCAAAGUCGAUGAAGCUUAUGUAUUCCCGGUACGCUGCCUCCCCCCCCCUCGACUCAAGUUGUCCGCUCGGGUAAGCCAGGUCUAGAACAAAAAAAUCAAGGUUUUUAAAUCUAGAAUAACAUAGCCUCAUGUCGGAUCCCUAGUAGGAAUGCUUGUUUGCAUCACGUGCAUCUGACUUUGGGGACUCAACACAGGGGUUGAGUCCGUCUAGGACAGGUGUACCCAAAAUAGCAGACUAUCUUGAUGCAUCUUAUGUGCUACAUGUUGCAUUUCUUCAAAGGUAAAAGGGUCAUUUGGCAGACCAAUGAUAGCUCCGGGCAAACGAAAAAAAAAAGGUGAAGUGUGAAAAUGAAGCAAGUAGGGCUCAGUAUAACUUUCUUUGACACUUUUUCAAGAAUAAAAAAACAAAAAAAUGAAAGUGAAAAAAUCCAAAAAAAUUUGGCACUUUCCCCAUCAUUUUUUCAAAAAGAAAAAAAGAAAAUCCAAAAAAGAUUUUACAUGUUUCAUCAUUUUUUCAAGAAAAGACAAAAAAAAUAUAUUUUCUCUAAGUUAUUUGUUAAUUUUAUUUCUCGCUCGUAUCCAAUCUGCCCGAACUACGCAUACAUGAUUCUCGUCUUUCGGGGAGUGAUACGUAGGCAACCCACAUAGGGUCCGAUCUUCUUAAUGAGUUUAGGUUCUUGGCUUCGCGGGGUCUUAGCCAAAUCUUGCAUUUUUAGCCACAGAGGUUAAUUUUAGAAAAAUCGUCAUAAUCAUGUCUUGCAUGUGUCUGGUAGGGAAUGUUAUUGUCUCACAUAGCGUUGGUUUGAGUUUUUUCAUACAGGUGUGGAUCUACUUACUGGAGUUUGAGCAUGACAGACACCUCAGGACCAUCCUCAGGAUCGCUUAUUCAGGAGUUGCUAAAGAAGAUUUUUAUUUUUAUUUUUUUAUGCUUUGAGUCUGUUUUUCUUUUUAUAACAUCUUUUACCUUCUAGUUUUGUAUGGUAAUGUCGAGUUUUUUUAUUAUUAUUGUACUUUCUAUUUUACAUUUGAAAAAGUGUGU